ensembl:snRNA U1 U1 spliceosomal RNA
ACAGCACAGGGAGAUACCACGACCAAGAAGGUGGUUUUCCCAGGGGGAGGCUUAUCCGUUGCAAUCUGGAUGUGCUGACCCCUGUAAUUUCCCCAAAAGUGGGAAACUCAACUGCCUAAUUCUUGGUGGUGGGGGGCUGCAUCUGUGCUUUCCCCUG